CAAACCCUCUGCAUCAUGACUGGUCCUUAGGGGUAACCGAACAUGUUUUCAGGCAGAAGCUAAGUGGUCCUCACAACACUGAAGAUAACUGCCCUUCAGAGCCAGUCCGAAUCAACACUGUCAGCUCAUGGGUGAGCUCACAAACCUCCCAGCUGCCCCCUGAAGAGGGAUGUGCUCUGACAUGAAACACAAAUCCCCAGCCCAUCAGCAUCCCACCCUGCUGACCACCUCGGCAAGCACUCAGACCAAAACUCAGUGUUCAACAGAAACAAAAAUAAAAGGAAAGCUGCAGAGGAGGGUGGUUCCAAAGUCACACAGCAAGUGAGCGGCAGAGCUGAGAUGGGAACGCACAUCCCUCAGAUCCAAGUAAUGGCUGGGUCACAGGGACAAUGACUCAAGGGCCUGCUGAAGAGAAGGGGAUGGGAACGGAUGAAUGCGGUUGCACAGUCUGUACAGAGUUGGGGAGCAAGAAGCUCUGGCUGCCUUUGCUGUCCUCCACCACCGUGAAUGGUUGCCUUCUGCCCUGCGCCACUCCACCUUGGAACCAGCCGAGUACGGACUGAAACCUCCA